GAAAUAUAUAGGAGGAAAACCCAAGGGGGGACCAAGGAGACUGCAGACUGGACACAGAAAAAAAAAAAAAAAAAAAAAAAAAAAAAAAAAAAAAAAAAAAAAAAAAAAAAAAAAAAAAAAAAAAAAAAAAAAAAAAAAAAAAAAAAAAAAAAAAAGUAUUCAUGCAUGUGUUUAUGUAUUGAAAUGUAGAUACUUUUAUGAGGAAUGUGUCCGUGUACUUACAUUUUUCAAAAGAUAAUCUUCAAUGGUAAGACUUGUUUUAUUCGCGCCUCUUCUGGUGUAGCAUAUAACGUGAGUUUUAUUUAGGCAUAUCAGAUGCAUAGCGUGUGUAAUGUGUAGGCCAUUUCAUUCCGUUCUUGCAAUGUGAAUAAUUCAUUUCAAUAUGCUUAUAUCCCUUUUGUGCGCGCUUGUGCGUUUAACGGGGCUUGUUUGUGUGAGCCAGUGCAUUUAUCAUUCAUCUGUUGAUGCUCGAGUUUAAUAAAGGCAGGCUAUUCUUAAGAAACGUAUGUAAA
rnacentral:lncRNA from 1 species